AGUGAACGCUGGCGGUAGACCUAACACAUGCAAGUCGAACGGCAGCACAGUAAGAGCUUGCUCUUACGGGUGGCGAGUGGCGGACGGGUGAGGAAUACAUCGGAAUCUACUUUUUCGUGGGGGAUAACGUAGGGAAACUUACACUAAUACCGCAUACGACCUACGGGUGAAAGCAGGGGAUCUUCGGACCUUGCGCGAUUGAAUGAGCCGAUGUCGGAUUAGCUAGUUGGCGGGGUAAAGGCCCACCAAGGCGACGAUCCGUAGCUGGUCUGAGAGGAUGAUCAGCCACACUGGAACUGAGACACGGUCCAGACUCCUACGGGAGGCAGCAGUGGGGAAUAUUGGACAAUGGGCGCAAGCCUGAUCCAGCCAUACCGCGUGGGUGAAGAAGGCCUUCGGGUUGUAAAGCCCUUUUGUUGGGAAAGAAAAGCAGCAGGUUAAUACCCCGCUGUUCUGACGGUACCCAAAGAAUAAGCACCGGCUAACUUCGUG
rnacentral:rRNA from 1 species